UUGCUCCAGCAGCACAUGUACUAAAAUGGGAACAAUACAGAGAAGAUUAACAUGACCAUUCUGCCAGGAUGGCAAACAUAUUUGUGAAGUAUUCCAUAUUGUU
ensembl:snRNA U6 U6 spliceosomal RNA